rnacentral:lncRNA from 1 species
CCAUCACAGCUGAGGCCUCAGCUGAGAAGACUCAAGGCUGAGGUUGACUCAACAGCUGGGUCUAGAAUCAUCUGAGACCUUGUUCACGUACAUACGGCACCUGGGCAAGAAGGACUUGAAGAGGAGGACUGCCACCUGGAACAUUUUCACGUGGUCUCUCCACGUGGCUUGGCUCCCUCCCAGCAAGGCAACCUCAGGAGAGUAAGACCUAUCUGCCAGGGCUCAGGGCUCCUACCACGACUAUUCCUGGGAAGAAGACAGAACUUCACUGUCAUUCAUGAGCAAGCCAUGGAAGUCACAUACAGCUCUUCCAAUGCAUUUCAUGAGAUGCAUGGGAGACACAAGCUGCCUGGAUUUAAAAAGGAGGGCUGUAGACCUCACUUCUCACUAGGAAGAAUGCUGAAGAAUUGGAAGAUGUGUCUUCAAAUCACCACAUAAAAGAAUUGAGAAGUUGGCUGUAGCUACUACUUCUAGAAACUUGACCUAGUGGCCUGGCGUUUUGGGAACUUUGCUAGCUUAUUCAGCACAGGUAACUCAGGGUAAAAAUAACCUGAAGAAGAAAUGUAAUAAUCACUCACUUAUCUUCACCCCAAUUCAGCCAGGGCUAGAUAAUUUUUAGUUUUGAGCCUUUUUUAAAAAAAAAAAUAAAAAGAAACCUGGUAAUAACACAUCUUUGUCUUUUUCUCUUCUUUAAUAGGCUAGAGUUGAUAUUUAAGACUUUAGAAAGGUGCUUCUGGGAAUUUCAACAUUUGGCAGCUGGUAAUAAGUAGGAAAUGUCAUUACAUAAACGCCAGUUUGAGUUUAGAGGCAGGUGGUAUUUUGGAGAAGUCAGUAUCAAUGUGAGGCUGUAGCCACACUGACCGCCUCCAGCCCAUCUGCAGAGACAUUUCUGUCUCUGGCAAGUAAAGCCCCCUCCCUCUGUCUGCUUUGACUGCCUCUCUGAGUUCCCCUUUUUUCUGACCUUGAGUUUCAACUUGAUGAGUCAUCAAAAGGACUGGGCCACUGGAUUCUACCUGGCAAGAACUUCAGUGGCUGUGCCUGUGGGCCUUUGACGCUCAUCCUGACUCCUGACUGAUGAAUUAUUUGGUCGACUGAGGCAGAAUCACCUUUACUGGAGCAUAAUCUGUUGGAGGCAGCAUCUCCUGAAGUCUCCAUGAGUUGCUGGAAUGAAGAAAUGUGUCAUAUGUGAACCAAAACACAUGUAAAAAUUGUUGACAAUAGCACCAUUUGUAAAAGACUAAAACUGGAAACCACCAAAUGAUCAGCAACAGAGAAUAAAAAAUUAUGGCUUAUUUCUACAAUGGAUUGCUAUGCUGCAGUAAGAAUGAAUGAACAGCAGCUACACACAACCGGUAUGGAUGAAUCUCAUGAACACAAUGUGAAGGGAAAGAAGGCAGAAACAUACUUAUCACACCCUCCAUUUAUAUAAAACUCAGAGACAAAACAAAUUUAUGGUGUUAGGAGUCAGGUUCCUUUGGGGAAGAGAGAGGGAGUAGUACCUGAAUGGAGGGGGCAUGGAGGGGGCUUCGGGCAUGCUGGUAAGAUUUUUGUUUUGUUUUUAAUCUGAGUGAUAUAGGUGGUAGUUACUUUUUGAUGUUACAUCGAGCUGUACACUUAUGAUCUGUUCA